rnacentral:siRNA from 1 species
ACCGGUCAGAGUGAAAAUCCUCGG